rnacentral:tRNA from 1 species
GGCGAUGUGGUCUAGGGGUAUGAUACUCGCUUAGGGUGCGAGUGGUCCCGCGUUCGAAUCGCGGCAUCGCCC